CCGGAGUGCAGGGGAGCUAAAAGAGGUACCUGGCUGGAGGAUUAAUUAUUCUCCACCCGGGUCUAUUUAAAAAAAAAAAAAAAAAAAAUCGCGGCAGAGGGGGCGGGGUUUACCGAGCGGCGGAGGCGGGGCUUAUCGAGAGGCGGAGACGGGGCUAAUACCUCCCGAAGCCCCUGCUGUACAGGAAGAGGGAAAGAUGCUUCCCCAUCAGCCAACUGCAUCCACUGGAAAGAGGUAAGUGUGUGUGUGUGACUGUUUGCCUGUUUGUGUGACUGUCUGUCUGUGUGUGUGUGUGACUGUCUGUCUGUGUGACUGCCUGCCUGUGUGCGUGUGACUGUCUGU